rnacentral:rRNA from 1 species
UACGGAGGGGGCGAGCGUUGUUCGGAAUUACUGGGCGUAAAGCGCACGUAGGCGGCUUUGCAAGUUAGAGGUGAAAGCCCAGGGCUUAACCCUGGAAUUGCCUUUAAAACUGCAUCGCUAGAAUUGUGGAGAGGUAAGUGGAAUUCCGAGUGUAGAGGUGAAAUUCGUAGAUAUUCGGAAGAACACCAGUGGCGAAGGCGACUUACUGGACACAUAUUGACGCUGAGGUGCGAAAGCGUGGGGAGCAAACAGG